GGAAACUGCAGCUAAUACCUGAUGAGCCCCUAACGGGGGAAAGAUUUAUCGCCUUGGGAGCGGCCCGCGUCGGAUUAGCUAGUUGGUGGGGUAACGGCCUACCAAGGCUUCGAUCCGUAGCUGGUCUGAGAGGACGAUCAGCCACACUGGGACUGAGACACGGCCCAGACUCCUACGGGAGGCAGCAGUGGGGAAUCUUGCGCAAUGGGCGAAAGCCUGACGCAGCCAUGCCGCGUGAACGAUGAAGGCCUUAGGGUUGUAAAGUUCUUUUGCCCGUGACGAUGAUGACGGUAACGGGAGAAUAAGCUCCGGCUAACUUCGUGCCAGCAGCCGCGGUAAUACGAAGGGGGCUAGCGUUGUUCGGAAUUACUGGGCGUAAAGCGCGCGCAGGCGGUUUUGUAAGUUGGGGGUGAAAUCCCCGGGCUCAACCCGGGAAUGGCCUUCAAGACUGCGAAGCUAGAGGACGAGAGAGGUGAGUGGAAUUCCCAGUGUAGAGGUGAAAUUCGUAGAUAUUGGGAAGACACCGGUGGCGAAGGCGGCUCACUGGCUCGUAUCUGACGCUGAGGCGCGAAAGCGUGGGGA
rnacentral:rRNA from 1 species